rnacentral:hammerhead_ribozyme from 1 species
ACACUGCUGAGGAGUCCCACCGAAGGACGAAACGGCCGUCCAGUGU